GGUUCUGGGUGGAGUAACAGGCUUUCCUGGGCUCAGAAGCUAGGCUUUCAGCUUCCCUGUGGCUUGGUUGGAAGCCAUGGUGGCCUAGGGUCCUGUGUGUGGUCAGCUGUUUGGGUAUGAUAACGUCCCUCCCCAGAGAGUCUGGGCAAGGCGCUCUAGAUUAAGAGCCUAUCCUGGCUUCUGAUAAGGUUUGGGUGGAGGAGUCCUUGAUGCUGCCAAAAAACAAGCCCCAAGAGGAAGAAACCACUUCUGUGGCUCUGGCAUUGGCUGCUGUAACAGCCUUGAGUAAGAAAGGCUAUUGAGGACUCAAGAGCCUUGGUUUCCAGGCCCCUGGAUUGGUCUUGAGAUCUGGCAGAGAGACCAUUUCAGUUCCGUCUAAGAGGCCGCCAGGCCUCAAGAUAAUGAUCUCUAGCAGGACUUUGCCCUGAAUGCACAGCCUUUCCCCUGCUUCCACAGCUUGGUUCCCCAGAAGCUCCAAGUUGUUUUGCUCCAGCAGAAACCUGGCCCUACCACUUGCCACCCUCCAUCCCACAAACGAGGGCGGGCCUUGGCUCAACCCUUGUCCAGUAAGCCGGACAGGCUGUCUGGAGUACAUCAGAUAAGAGGCGGUAACAGCUGGGUGGGUUAGAAUAAAUGCUGCUUUAUUUACCAGCGCCCAGGGAGAGGGCAUUUACUCUCUGAUGGACGUCAGGCAGUAAAUGACUGAGGACAGCUGGGUAGAGGCUGGACGGAGCCCAGAGAGUGAGCUCAAGCCUUGUCAGAAGAAGGACCUCCAGUCCCUGAUUCUAGUCCACUGUCAUUAUGCACAAGAGACUGUGAUACAAGAUACUCUA
rnacentral:sRNA from 1 species